rnacentral:rRNA from 1 species
ACAGGGAUUGCCUCAGUAACGGCGAGUGAAGCGGCAAAAGCUCAAAUUUGAAAUCUAGCACUUUCAGUGUUCGAGUUGUAAUUUGAAGAAGGUAACUUUGGUUUUGGCUCUUGUCUAUGUUCCUUGGAACAGGACGUCACAGAGGGUGAGAAUCCCGUGCGAUGAGAUGCCCAAUUCCAUGUAAAGUGCUUUCGAAGAGUCGAGUUGUUUGGGAAUGCAGCUCUAAGUGGGUGGUAAAUUCCAUCUAAAGCUAAAUAUUGGCGAGAGACCGAUAGCGAACAAGUACAGUGAUGGAAAGAUGAAAAGAACUUUGAAAAGAGAGUGAAAAAGUACGUGAAAUUGUUGAAAGGGAAGGGCUUGAGAUCAGACUUGGUAUUUUGCGUUCCCUUCCUUUUUGGUUGGGUUCCUCGCAGUUUACUGGGCCAGCAUCGGUUUGGAUGGUAGGAUAAUGACAUUGGAAUGUAGCUUUACUUCGGUGAAGUGUUAUAGACUUUGUUGAUACUGCCUAUCUAGACCGAGGACUGCGUCUUUGACUAGGAUGCUGGCGUAAUGAUCUUAAGCCGCCCGUCUUGAAACACGGACCUCCUGUGUGAAGUG